GACGAACGCUGGCGGCGUGCCUAAUACAUGCAAGUCGAGCGCAGGAAACUGACGGAACUCUUCGGAGGGAAGGCAGUGGAAUGAGCGGCGGACGGGUGAGUAACACGUAAGGAACCUGCCUCAAGGAUUGGGAUAACUCCGAGUAAUCGGAGCUAAUACCGGAUAGUUCAACGGACCGCAUGGUCCGCUGAUGAAAGGCGCUCCGGCGUCACCUUGGGAUGGCCUUGCGGUGCAUUAGCUAGUUGGUGGGGUAACGGCCCACAAAGGCGACGAUGCAUAGCCGACCUGAGAGGGUGAGCGGCCACACUGGGACUGAGACACGGCCCAGACUCCUACGGGAGGCAGCAGUAGGGAAUCUUCCACAAUGGACGAAAGUCUGAUGGAGCAACGCCGCGUGAGUGAUGAAGGUUUUCGGAUCGUAAAACUCUGUUGUAAGGGAAGAACACGUACGAGAGGGAAUGCUCGUACCUUGACGGUACCUUACGAGAAAGCCACGGCUAACUACGUGCCAGCCGCCGCAGUAA
rnacentral:rRNA from 1 species